GCCAGGAGUUGUGACGCACGCCUGUAAUCCCAACAGCUCCGGAGGCUGAGAAAGGAGGAUUGCGAGUUCAAAGCCAGCCUCAGCAAUUUAGCAAGGUCCUAAGCAACUCAGUGAUACCCUGUCUCUA
rnacentral:sRNA from 1 species